CCCUUAGAUGUUCUGGGCCGCACGCGCGCUACACUGAUUCAUGCAACAAGUUUUGUCCUUGGCUGAUAGGCCUGGGUAAUCUUUGAACGUGAAUCGUGAUGGGGAUAGAUGAUUGCAAUUAUUCAUCUUCAACGAGGAAUUCCUAGUAAACGCAAGUCAUCAGCUUGCAUUGAUUACGUCCCUGCCCUUUGUACACACCGCCCGUCGCACCUACCGAUUGAAUGGUCCGGUGAAAUCUUCGGAUCUGAGAGACGUCUGAUUAAUUUCGGACGCCUUUUGGAAAAGUUGUUUAAACCUUACCAUUUAGAGGAAGGUGAAGUCGUAACA
rnacentral:rRNA from 1 species